CCUACGGGUGGCAGCAGUGGGGAAUCUUGCGCAAUGGGCGAAAGCCUGACGCAGCGACGCCGCGUGGGGGAGGAAGCUUUUCGGAGUGUAAACCCCUGUCAGGAGGGAAGAACGGUCCCGGGAGGAAAUGCCUGGGAUUUGACGGUACCUCCAGAGGAAGCACCGGCUAACUCUGUGCCAGCAGCCGCGGUAAUACAGAGGGUGCGAGCGUUGUUCGGAAUUACUGGGCGUAAAGCGCGCGUAGGCGGCUUCUUAAGUCUUACCGUGAAAUGCCGGGGCUCAACCCCGCGCACGUCGGGGGAUACUGGGGAGCUGGAGACAAGUAGAGGCGAGCGGAAUUCCGGGUGUAGCGGUGGAAUGCGUAGAGAUCCGGAAGAACACCAGAGGCGAAGGCGGCUCGCUGGGCUUGGUCUGACGCUGAGGCGCGAAAGCGUGGGGAG
rnacentral:rRNA from 1 species